UGCGUUUGUGAGAGCUCUGGAUAUAUGGU
rnacentral:piRNA from 1 species